UUCUCCAUCACUCUAGCUCUCCGUGUGUUCCCUGAACAGAAUAGAAUAUUGCUAGUAUAUGAAGCAUUCGUUGCCACCUGAGACAUGGACACAGAGGAGAACAAGGCCCUCCAUGAAUCACUAAAGCAAUACGAGCUGCAACUUGAAGCGGUCAAACUUUCUUUAGCGUCUAGCGCUAGUGACUCCCAGGCUGCUGAAUUGUUGGAAUUAAAACAUAACUUGGAAGAAGUCAUUCGCCUUACCCAAGCAACGCUGCGUGGUGCGGUGGACAAAGACUCGACGACAAACCAGAUACAGGUUAACGAUGACGGCGACGAAGAGUUUGCGAGGUUUCAGGCAGAGAUGAAGAGUCUUGGUGCUUUAGCAGAAGUGCAAGAUCAAGCUGUCACUGCUGCCGAGGACCAUUGUAAAGAGCUUGCAGAACUUGUGGAUCAUCUAGAAGGCGCUCAUGUGAAGGCACCAUUUUCCAAAGACUGGGGACAGCUCCCAUACCACAGUGCUGUUGUUCUCUCCGUAGAUGCUUCUGACAUCACUCACAUUGAUGACAUCAAAGUAAAUGUUAUGUUCACGCACCCGACUGUGUCAGCCAUGAAGCCAUGUCCGUUCUUCCUUGAAGGUCGCUGUAAAUUUACCCAGGAACAAUGUCGCUUCUCUCAUGGUCAUGCUGUUGCACUGUCCGACCUGCGUGAAUAUUCCGAGCCCAGUUUUAGCGGCUUUAAACCUGGCUUACCUUGUCUCGUGAAGAGUGACAAAGAUGGCCUAUGGCAGCUGGCUGCCUUGGAGUCCAUUGGAGAACGGCAAGAUGAGGUUGUGGUUCGUCUUUCUCACUCUGGGAAAACAGUGUCCACUGGAGUUGAGGAUGUUUUUUAUUUGGAAGACGAUGGAACAGUGGAAAGCUCAGACUCUGAAAGUGACUCCCAGCGAGCCGCUGAUGGUGUACCAAUUGCAGGAAGUUGUGAAGAUGAUCAGGAGGGGGCACCUGUUGUUGCCUGGUCUCCAAGUACUGCAUCAGGUUUGCCUCUUGGAGCUUGGGAGAAGCACACAAAGGGUAUCGGUUCCAAACUGAUGCAGAAAAUGGGCUAUGUCUGGGGGGAAGGACUUGGCAUUAGGGGCAAUGGUAGAACUGAGCCAGUUGAGGCUGUUGUGCUACCUGCUGGGAAAUCACUUGACAAAUGCAUGGAACUAAAGGAACUGGGCAUGAUACAGGAUCCUGCCAAAGCACAAAGAAAGGUGCUGCUUAAAAUGAAGAGGGAGGAAGAGAAGAUUGAAAGGCGGUACCACAAGGCAGCAGAAUCUGGAUCAGUAUUUGACUUUUUAAAUCGUCAGAUAUUUUCAAAAAAGCAUUCUAACAAUGCUCAUGAGCGGCAUAACACCCAGAAGGAAAAACAUAGCAGUCUGGAUCUGAAAUCAGUUUCAAUGAGGGGCCUAGGUAUUGAGGCACUGCAAGUGACAGAAGCUAUAAAAAGAGCAGAACGUGAAAUUGCGAGGCUGGGACAUUCUUCUGCCCGGAACAAAGACAGAGACAAAGUUAUGCACGCACAAAUGGAAAAGAAGAUAGAAGAGCAAAGGCAAUUAAUUCGUCAGUUGCAGUCUAAAGAACGGUCUAUUGCUGCCGAGCAGCAGCAUCGAAAAGGAAAUGACAAGUUGCGGAUAUUCUGAUAAAAACAAAAGAAAAGUUGACCCCUUCCACACCCCGACUGCGCCAGUGGCUGCCAUUAUCAUUUUCAAAAAGAUCCUGCGACUACCUUGUGUUUGCAGUGGCUGUGUGUGAGUGUGUGUGUGUGCGUGCCAUCUUGUGUACACCUUGUUGAAGUUGUUGGGAAAAAAAGUGAGUGUGAAAUUGUGCAAUUUUUGAAUAAAGGAAGGGCAGAGCCUUUUUGGGGUAAAAA